rnacentral:rRNA from 1 species
UACGUAGGGUGCAAGCGUUGUCCGGAUUUAUUGGGCGUAAAGAGCGUGUAGGCGGUCAGGUAGGUCCGUUGUGAAAACUCGAGGCUCAACCUCGAGACGCCGAUGGAAACCAUCUGACUAGAGUCCGGAAGAGGAGAGUGGAAUUCCUGGUGUAGCGGUGAAAUGCGCAGAUAUCAGGAAGAACACCCGUGGCUAAGGCGGCUCUCUAGUACGGUGCUGACGCUGAGACGCGAAAGCGUGGGGAGCGAACAGG